rnacentral:tRNA from 1 species
CUGCCCAUAGCUCAGUUGGAUAGAGCAUCGGCCUUCUAAGCCGACGGUCGGGGUUCAAAUCCCUCUGGGCAGGCCA